UACUCCUACGGGAGGCAGCAGUGAGGAAUAUUGGUCAAUGGACGGAAGUCUGAACCAGCCAAGUAGCGUGCAGGAUGACGGCCCUAUGGGUUGUAAACUGCUUUUGUAUGGGGAUAAAGUUAGGGACGUGUCCCUAUUUGCAGGUACCAUACGAAUAAGGACCGGCUAAUUCCGUGCCAGCAGCCGCGGUAAUACGGAAGGUCCAGGCGUUAUCCGGAUUUAUUGGGUUUAAAGGGAGCGUAGGCUGGAGAUUAAGUGUGUUGUGAAAUGUAGACGCUCAACGUCUGAAUUGCAGCGCAUACUGGUUUCCUUGAGUACGCACAACGUUGGCGGAAUUCGUCGUGUAGCGGUGAAAUGCUUAGAUAUGACGAAGAACUCCGAUUGCGAAGGCAGCUGACGGGAGCGCAACUGACGCUUAAGCUCGAAGGUGCGGGUAUCAAACAGGAUUAGAUACCCUGGUAGUCCGCACAGUAAACGAUGGAUGCCCGCUGUUGGUACCUGGUAUCAGCGGCUAAGCGAAAGCAUUAAGCAUCCCACCUGGGGAGUACGCCGGCAACGGUGAAACUCAAAGGAAUUGACGGA
rnacentral:rRNA from 1 species